UUGGGAGAUCCCGGUCCCCAGCAGCCCGCCAUGGUGGCAGGCUGGAAGCCCUUCCCCUGCUCUUCAGGACAGCGUCUUUGCCUUGGGAGGUACUGCAGGGGUGCAGUUAGAGAUGGGGUUUUUCCGCCGGAAGACAAGAUGUGGCAUGGUGCCCAGUUUCAGCUCAUUCUGCAUGAGGGGAUGUUCGUGAUCACCCCCAUAGCUGAGCCUCAAGGCCAGGGGCUGCUUCAAGUUGGGGGCCACUCCAGGCACAUGGCCCCUCCACCGCUUCUGCUCUUGGCUUUGCUCCUGUACAUUGACAUCCCCGCUGAGAACCUGCUCUCUGUCUGGCUGCUGAUGUUCAGGUUCUGUUGCCCGUGUGUGGUGGACAUCUGCUUCUGCUCCUAGCAGGCUCAAGAGACUAUACCUGUCAGUACGGUGAGUCCAGGACAUCUAAGGAGGAAAUGCCCGGAAACAUCAAGUGGUAGCUGAGGGCCUUAGAGAAGUCAGGUGGGGCUGGAGCCAGCAGCAGCAGCAGACUCUGGGUCUGAGCAGUGUGCUCUUAGGUGAGGAAAAUGGGUUGUUCCAGGAGAAAUCUGGGUGUUUAGUCCUGAUGAAGGAGCGAUGUUUAAUGCCCCAGGGGAGAUGGUUUCAUUUAUCUGCUGGGUACUAAGUGCACACUAACUGUGUGUACACCUUGUGGUAGGUCUCUAACCUAGCCGAGAGUCGGAACCACAUGCACCAAAACACUAAAGCUCAAUGGUCAACAGUUUGCUUUUGAAGUCAGGCAGGACUGGGCUUGACUGUGUAACUGCAAAAGGUUGAGCGAUGGCCCCAAGACAAGACUCCAAGACUUUGCAGAUAUGAGUAAAGUAAGAGCCUCGAGAUUAGGAGAUUAUUCUGGAUUACCCAAGUGGGCCCUAAAUGGAGCCCAGUAUCUUCAUAAGAGGGAGCCAGAGGGAGAUUUGACCAUGGAAAAGAGAUAAGGAGAUUAUGUGAUGGAUGCAGAGAUGCUACGCAAAGACCAGGGAAGGGGGCAGGGCCAAAAAAUGCACAAAAUGUCCUUCUAGAAAUGGAAAAACCCAGGGAGCAGUUUCCUCUGGCCCUUCUGACACUUUCAGCUUAGCCCAGUGCAACUGGUCUUUAGUUUCUGGCCUUUAGAACAAUAAGAGAAGACAUCUGUGUGGUUUCAAGGCACCAAGUUUGUGACAGUUCCUUACACCAGUGGUAGGCAGCUGACAUAAGCAAGGGAAAGGACUUCACCCCAAGCGUCAGUCAGGUGGGAAUAACACCUUGAUUCAUCACACACAUUUUGAGUCUCCCAUGAGCCAGGCUGGUGGGUGCUGGACUCUGGGGCAAAGGAGUCCCUCCCACUUUCUUGGAGGCUAAAUUCCAGCUGGAGGGCACAAAC
rnacentral:lncRNA from 1 species